rnacentral:rRNA from 1 species
AUUGAACGCUGGCGGCAGGCUUAACACAUGCAAGUCGGACGGUAACAGGGAGGGAGCUUGCUUUCUUUGCUGACGAGUGGCGGACGGGUGAGUAAUGCUUGGGAAUCUGUUUUAUGGAGGGGGAUAACUACGGGAAACUGUAGCUAAUCCGCGUAAUAUCGAGAGAUUAAAGUGUGGGACCGUAAGGCCACAUGCCAUAGAGUGAGCCCAAGUGGGAUUAGGUAGUUGGUGGGGUAAAGGCCUACCAAGCCGUCGAUCUCUAGCUGGUCUGAGAGGAUGACCAGCCACACUGGGACUGAGACACGGCCCAGACUCCUACGGGAGGCAGCAGUGGGGAAUAUUGCACAAUGGGCGCAAGCCUGAUGCAGCCAUGCCGCGUGAAUGAAGAAGGCCUUCGGGUUGUAAAGUUCUUUCGGUGGUGAGGAAGGUUGUAAUGUUAAUAGCAUUAUAAUUUGACGUUAGCCACAGAAGAAGCACCGGCUAACUCCGUGCCAGCAGCCGCGGUAAUACGGAGGGUGCGAGCGUUAAUCGGGAUAACUGGGCGUAAAGGGCACGCAGGCGGAUACUUAAGUGAGGUGUGAAAGCCCUGGGCUUAACCUAGGAAUUGCAUUUCAUACUGGGUAUCUAGAGUAUUUUAGGGAGGGGUAGAAUUCCACGUGUAGCGGUGAAAUGCGUAGAGAUGUGGAGGAAUACCGAAGGCGAAGGCAGCCCCUUGGGGGAAUACUGACGCUCAUGUGCGAAAGCGUGGGGAGCAAACAGG